UACGGAGGAUGCAAGCGUUAUCCGGAAUGAUUGGGCGUAAAGCGUCCGCAGGUGGCUGUGUAAGUCUGCUGUCAAAGAGCGAAGCUCAACUUCGUAAAGGCAGUGGAAACUACACGGCUAGAGUGCGUUUGGGGCAGAGGGAAUUCCUGGUGUAGCGGUGAAAUGCGUAGAGAUCAGGAAGAACACCGGUGGCGAAGGCGCUCUGCUAGGCCGCAACUGACACUGAGGGACGAAAGCUAGGGGAGCGAAUGGG
rnacentral:rRNA from 1 species